CCUACGGGAGGCACCAGUGGGGAAUUUUCCGCAAUGGGCGAAAGCCUGACGGAGCAAUGCCGCGUGGAGGUAGAAGGCCCACGGGUCGUGAACUUCUUUUCCCGGAGAAGAAGCAAUGACGGUAUCUGGGGAAUAAGCCCCGGCUAACUUCGUGCCAGCAGCCGCGGUAAUACGAAGGGGGCUAGCGUUGUUCGGAAUUACUGGGCGUAAAGCGCGCGUAGGCGGAUAGAUAAGUCAGAGGUGAAAUCCCGGGGCUCAACCCCGGAAUUGCCUUUGAUACUGUUUAUCUUGAGUGCAGAAGAGGUAAGUGGAAUUCCGAGUGUAGAGGUGAAAUUCGUAGAUAUUGGGAAGAACACCGGUGGCGAAGGCGGCAACCUGGCUCGAUACUGACGCUGAGGCGCGAAAGCGUGGGGAGCAAACAGGAUUAGAUACCCGAGUAGUC
rnacentral:rRNA from 1 species